rnacentral:lncRNA from 1 species
CCGCUUGCUGUAAUUAUUUUUGAUUUUAAUUCUCUUUCUUUGGGAACUUUAUGUUCGACAGAUAUAUUAGGAUUGAGAAAAUUAAAAAUUCUUGAUCUCAACUAUAACAGGCUCAUUGGAACUUUUCCAUUAACUCUCAAAAAUCUAUCUUCACUCAAUGUCCUCAAUCUAAGAUCCAACAAGCUGAACGGCACACUUAAUGGGGAAU